rnacentral:rRNA from 1 species
GGGCCCGCACAAGCGGCGGAGCAUGUGGAUUAAUUCGAUGCAACGCGAAGAACCUUACCUGGGCUUGACAUACACCGGACCGGGCCAGAGAUGGUCCUUCCCUUGUGGCCGGUGUACAGGUGGUGCAUGGUUGUCGUCAGCUCGUGUCGUGAGAUGUUGGGUUAAGUCCCGCAACGAGCGCAACCCUUGUCUUAUGUUGCCAGCACGUGAUGGUGGGGACUCAUGAGAGACUGCCGGGGUCAACUCGGAGGAAGGUGGGGAUGACGUCAAAUCAUCAUGCCCCUUAUGUCCAGGGCUUCACACAUGCUACAAUGGUCGGUACAGCAGGUCGCGAACUCGUGAGGGUGAGCUAAUCCUACAAAGCCGGCCUCAGUUCGGAUUGGGGUCUGCAACUCGACCCCAUGAAGUCGGAGUCGCUAGUAAUCGCAGAUCAGCAACGCUGCGGUGAAUACGUUCCCGGGCCUU